rnacentral:rRNA from 1 species
CCUACGGGAGGCAGCAGUGAGGAAUAUUGGUCAAUGGACGAGAGUCUGAACCAGCCAAGUAGCGUGAAGGAUGACUGCCCUAUGGGUUGUAAACUUCUUUUAUAUGGGAAUAAAAUGUUCCACGUGUGGGAUUUUGUAUGUACCAUAUGAAUAAGGAUAGGCUAACUCCGUGCCAGCAGCCGCGGUAAUACGGAGGAUCCGAGCGUUAUCCGGAUUUAUUGGGUUUAAAGGGAGCGUAGGUGGAUUGUUAAGUCAGUUGUGAAAGUUUGCGGCUCAACCGUAAAAUUGCAGUUGAAACUGACAGUCUUGAGUACAGUAGAGGUGGGCGGAAUUCGUGGUGUAGCGGUGAAAUGCUUAGAUAUCACGAAGAACUCCGAUUGCGAAGGCAGUUCACUGGACUGCAACUGACACUGAGGCUCGAAAGUGUGGGUAUCAAACAGGAUUAGAUACCCCAGUAGUC